UACGUAGGGUGCGAGCGUUGUCCGGAAUUAUUGGGCGUAAAGGGCUCGUAGGCGGUUUGUCGCGUCGGGAGUGAAAACCAGGUGCUUAACACCUGGCUUGCUUUCGAUACGGGCAGACUAGAGGUAUGCAGGGGAGAACGGAAUUCCUGGUGUAGCGGUGAAAUGCGCAGAUAUCAGGAGGAACACCGGUGGCGAAGGCGGUUCUCUGGGCAUGACCUGACGCUGAGGAGCGAAAGUGUGGGGAGCAAACAGG
rnacentral:rRNA from 1 species